rnacentral:rRNA from 1 species
AUGGCGCAGGUGGCGAAGGCUACGCAGUCUGAAUCAGGUCGUAGGCAAGGCUUCUGGCCUGAUCCGGAGCACGGGGCCGACGACUGGGACGGUCGGCCAGAUCAGGACGAGGCAGAGGAGCUCCAAGGUGCCAGCCUUGGCGGCCUCUGGGUUCAUCGCCGAUUAGGGGGUGCUGCGCUGGCCAGCCACCACGGCCCCGCGCACGUGCAGCUCUUGGCUAGAUUGGGUGGAGAAGAAGAAGAGGACUAG